CAGGUUUACCUGUGUGACUGCGUACCUUUUGUAUAAUGGGUCAGCGACUUAUAUUCUGUAGCAAGGUUAACCGAAUAGGGGAGCCGGAGGGAAACCGAGUCUUAAUUGGGCGUUAAGUUGCAGGGUAUAGACCCGAAACCCGGUGAUCUAGCCAUGGGCAGGUUGAAGGUUGGGUAACACUAACUGGAGGACCGAACCGACUAAUGUUGAAAAAUUAGCGGAUGACCUGUGGCUGGGGGUGAAAGGCCAAUCAAACCGGGAGAUAGCUGGUUCUCCCCGAAAGCUAUUUAGGUAGCGCCUCGUGAAUUCAUCUCCGGGGGUAGAGCACUGUUUCGGCUAGGGGGCCAUCCCGGCUUACCAACCCGAUGCAAACUGCGAAUACCGGAGAAUGUUAUCACGGGAGACACACGGCGGGUGCUAACGUCCGUCGUGAAGAGGGAAACAACCCAGACCGCCAGCUAAGGUCCCAAAGUCAUGGUUAAGUGGGAAACGAUGUGGGAAGGCCCAGACAGCCAGGAUGUUGGCUUAGAAGCAGCCAUCAUUUAAAGAAAGCGUAAUAGCUCACUGGUCGAGUCGGCCUGCGCGGAAGAUGUAACGGGGCUAAACCAUGCACCGAAGCUGCGGCAGCGAACGUAUCACUUAAAGCGAUUCAGCGGGUUACGAUUGACGGAGCGAAGCGACGUCAAAGCGUAUACAAAGUCGAGUCGGUUUAAGGAUACGUUCGUUGGGUAGGGGAGCGUUCUGUAAGCCUGUGAAGGUGUGUCGUGAGGCAUGCUGGAGGUAUCAGAAGUGCGAAUGCUGACAUAAGUAACGAUAAAGCGGGUGAAAAGCCCGCUCGCCGGAAGACCAAGGGUUCCUGUCCAACGUUAAUCGGGGCAGGGUGAGUCGACCCCUAAGGCGAGGCCGAAAGGCGUAGUCGAUGGGAAACGGGUUAAUAUUCCCGUACUUGGUGUUACUGCGAAGGGGGGACGGAGAAGGCUAUGUUGGCCGGGCGACGGUUGUCCCGGUUUAAGCGUGUAGGUGUGUGUUCCAGGUAAAUCCGGUUCACUUUAACACUGAGGCGUGACGACGAGGCACUACGGUGCUGAAGCAACAAAUGCCCUGCUUCCAGGAAAAGCCUCUAAGCAUCAGGUAACAUCAAAUCGUACCCCAAACCGACACAGGUGGUCAGGUAGAGAAUACCAAGGCGCUUGAGAGAACUCGGGUGAAGGAACUAGGCAAAAUGGUGCCGUAACUUCGGGAGAAGGCACGCUGACACGUAGGUGAAGUGAUUUACUCACGGAGCUGAAGUCAGUCGAAGAUACCAGCUGGCUGCAACUGUUUAUUAAAAACACAGCACUGUGCAAACACGAAAGUGGACGUAUACGGUGUGACGCCUGCCCGGUGCCGGAAGGUUAAUUGAUGGGGUCAGCGCAAGCGAAGCUCCUGAUCGAAGCCCCGGUAAACGGCGGCCGUAACUAUAACGGUCCUAAGGUAGCGAAAUUCCUUGUCGGGUAAGUUCCGACCUGCACGAAUGGCGUAAUGAUGGCCAGGCUGUCUCCACCCGAGACUCAGUGAAAUUGAACUCGCUGUGAAGAUGCAGUGUACCCGCGGCAAGACGGAAAGACCCCGUGAACCUUUACUAUAGCUUGACACUGAACAUUGAGCCUUGAUGUGUAGGAUAGGUGGGAGGCUUUGAAGUGUGGACGCCAGUCUGCAUGGAGCCGACCUUGAAAUACCACCCUUUAAUGUUUGAUGUUCUAACGUGGACCCGUAAUCCGGGUUGCGGACAGUGUCUGGUGGGUAGUUUGACUGGGGCGGUCUCCUCCUAAAGAGUAACGGAGGAGCACGAAGGUUGGCUAAUCCUGGUCGGACAUCAGGAGGUUAGUGCAAUGGCAUAAGCCAGCUUGACUGCGAGCGUGACGGCGCGAGCAGGUGCGAAAGCAGGUCAUAGUGAUCCGGUGGUUCUGAAUGGAAGGGCCAUCGCUCAACGGAUAAAAGGUACUCCGGGGAUAACAGGCUGAUACCGCCCAAGAGUUCAUAUCGACGGCGGUGUUUGGCACCUCGAUGUCGGCUCAUCACAUCCUGGGGCUGAAGUAGGUCCCAAGGGUAUGGCUGUUCGCCAUUUAAAGUGGUACGCGAGCUGGGUUUAGAACGUCGUGAGACAGUUCGGUCCCUAUCUGCCGUGGGCGCUGGAGAACUGAGGGGGGCUGCUCCUAGUACGAGAGGACCGGAGUGGACGCAUCACUGGUGUUCGGGUUGUCAUGCCAAUGGCACUGCCCGGUAGCUAAAUGCGGAAGAGAUAAGUGCUGAAAGCAUCUAAGCACGAAACUUGCCCCGA
rnacentral:rRNA from 1 species